rnacentral:rRNA from 1 species
UACGUAGGGUCCGAGCGUUGUCCGGAGUUACUGGGCGUAAAGCGCGCGCAGGCGGCUCGUCAAGUCUGGCGUGAAAGCCCCGGCCUCAACCGGGGAGGGUCGUCGGAGACUGGCGAGCUUGAGGGCGGUUAGGGGCUGGUGGAAUUCCCGGUGUAGUGGUGAAAUGCGUAGAGAUCGGGAGGAACACCCGUGGCGAAGGCGGCCAGCUGGCCGUCCCUGACGCUGAGGCGCGAAGGCGUGGGGAGCGAACGGG